UCAGAUUGACUGCAAUUCAAAAGCUCUAUAUUGGGAUCAUCUGGGACUUUGGAUUGUUCAGAAUUAUUUCCAAUUACAUAUUGAGUUCAAGUAUAUCCUAUGAAACAACACUCUGGAUGAAGGCAGUGGCAACACGAAGCAUGGUUUUAUAGUCUCUCUAAUCUGGAACCUCACAGAUCGGAUUCUGGAAAGUUUAAAACUUAUGGUAGGAAGUAUUGAAUGCAGCGAUUUACUGUUUGCAGCUGAAUGCCACAUCCAGUCCUCAUCUCAGUAGUCCACAAGUAGCAGGAACCACAGCAGAUUGGAUGGAGAUUUGCAUUCCAGGUACUCUGAAAGGAAGGAGCAGAAAAGGAAAACAUGGUCUAGUGGCUGACCACAGUGGCUGGACAACAGUCACUAGCUUUUAUUUCAAGAGUAAAUAUGCCAUGCUUGAAGGUCCAUUUAGUGCUACAAGUAUGUGCACAGUGUAGCAUCCUCUGCCAUCACUUGAGGAGUCUCUCAGGAACUGCAUCCCUGAUGUAAAUUGUCUCCAUCAACUGCCAAAAUCUUCUCAGGAAUGGUAGGACUUAUUAAACCCCUUCUCUACCCA